CCAAAAAAAAUCUAAACGCCAUAAUAUGCCCGUGGGAGAUGGAUUGGUGUAGAAUAUGUAGAGUCCACACCAUUAUGGACUCAUCCACAAAUUCAUCACACAAAAGGGGCGUCCCUUCAAAUAUUUGAUGUGGAGUUCCUUCCAAGAGUAGGAUCCUUCAUCUUCUUUCAUGCCAACAUAUCCCAAAGGCCAUCAUAUGGUGCGUGGGAUUAAAAGAAUGCAUGCAAUGAAAGGA
rnacentral:lncRNA from 1 species